rnacentral:rRNA from 1 species
GGCUCAGGAUGAACGCUAGCGACAGGCUUAACACAUGCAAGUCGAGGGGCAGCGAGAAAGUGCUUGCACGUUUUGUCGGCGACCGGCGCACGGGUGAGUAACACGUAUGCAACCUGCCCUUGUCAGGGGGAUAACCGGUGGAAACGCCGACUAAUACCCCAUAGCAUUGAUUUAAGGCAUCUUUUAUCAAUUAAAGAAUUUCGGAAACGGAUAGGCUCGCGUGACAUUAGCUUGAUGGCGGGGUAACGGCCCACCAUGGCGACGAUGUCUAGGGGUUCUGAGAGGAAGGUCCCCCACACUGGAACUGAGACACGGUCCAGACUCCUACGGGAGGCAGCAGUGAGGAAUAUUGGUCAAUGGUCGAGAGACUGAACCAGCCAUGCCGCGUGAAGGUCACGGCCCUAUGGGUCUUAAACUUCUUUUGUAAGGGAGCAAUAAGUCUCACGUGUGGGAUGAUGAGAGUACCUUACGAAUAAGCAUCGGCUAACUCCGUG